rnacentral:rRNA from 1 species
AUUGAACGCUGGCGGCAUGCCUUACACAUGCAAGUCGAACGGUAACGGGCCUUCGGGUGCCGACGAGUGGCGCACGGGUGAGUAAUACAUCGGAACGUGCCCGAUCGUGGGGGAUAACGAGGCGAAAGCUUUGCUAAUACCGCAUACGAUCUACGGAUGAAAGCAGGGGACCGCAAGGCCUUGCGCGGACGGAGCGGCCGAUGGCAGAUUAGGUAGUUGGUGGGAUAAAAGCUUACCAAGCCGACGAUCUGUAGCUGGUCUGAGAGGAUGAUCAGCCACACUGGGACUGAGACACGGCCCAGACUCCUACGGGAGGCAGCAGUGGGAAUUUUGGACAAUGGGCGCAAGCCUGAUCCAGCCAUGCCGCGUGCAGGAUGAAGGCCUUCGGGUUGUAAACUGCUUUUGUACGGAACGAAAAGCCUUCUUUUAAUACAGGAGGGUCAUGACGGUACCGUAAGAAUAAGCACCGGCUAACUACGUG